GACGAACGCUGGCGGCGUGCUUAACACAUGCAAGUCGAACGAUGAAGCCGGAGCUUGCUCCGGUGGAUUAGUGGCGAACGGGUGAGUAACACGUGAGCAAUCUGCCCUUGACUCUGGGAUAACUGCGGGAAACUGUAGCUAAUACCGGAUACGACGCCUUGGGGCAUCCCAGGGUGUGGAAAGAAUUUCGGUCAAGGAUGAGCUCGCGGCCUAUCAGCUAGUUGGUGAGGUAAUGGCUCACCAAGGCGACGACGGGUAGCCGGCCUGAGAGGGGGACCGGCCACACUGGAACCGAGACACGGUCCAGACUCCUACGGGAGGCAGCAGUGGGGAAUAUUGCACAAGGGGCGAAAGCCUGAUGCAGCAACGCCGCGUGAGGGAUGAAGGCCUUCGGGUUGUAAACCUCUUUUAGCAGGGAAGAAGCGAAAGUGACGGUACCUGCAGAAAAAGCACCGGCUAACUACGUGCCAGCCGCCGCCGUAA
rnacentral:rRNA from 1 species